rnacentral:rRNA from 1 species
CCUACGGGUGGCAGCAGUGGGGAAUAUUGCACAAUGGGGGAAACCCUGAUGCAGCGACGCCGCGUGAGUGAAGAAGUAUUUCGGUAUGUAAAGCUCUAUCAGCAGGGAAGAAAAUGACGGUACCUGAUUAAGAAGCCCCGGCUAACUACGUGCCAGCAGCCGCGGUACUACAUAGGGGGCAAGCGUUAUCCGGAUUUACUGGGUGUAAAGGGAGCGUAGACGGCAGCGCAAGUCUGAAGUGAAAUGCCGGGGCUUAACCCCGGAACUGCUUUGGAAACUGUGCAGCUAGAGUGCAGGAGAGGUAAGUGGAAUUCCUAGUGUAGCGGUGAAAUGCGUAGAUAUUAGGAGGAACACCAGUGGCGAAGGCGGUCUGCUGGACAGCAACUGACGGUGAGGCGCGAAAGCGUGGGGAGCAAACAGGAUUAGAUACCCGUGUAGUC